UACGUAGGGUGCGAGCGUUGUCCGGAAUUAUUGGGCGUAAAGAGCUCGUAGGCGGUGUGUCACGUCGGCCGUGAAAACCUGCAGCUUAACUGUGGGCGUGCGGUCGAUACGGGCAGGCUGGAGUUCGGUAGGGGAGACUGGAAUCCUGGUGUAGCGGUGAAAUGCGCAGAUAUCAGGAGGAACACCGGUGGCGAAGGCGGGUCUCUGGGCCGAUACUGACGCUGAGGAGCGAAAGCGUGGGGAGCGAACAGG
rnacentral:rRNA from 1 species